GGAAAGAUAGCACAAUUGGUAGUGUGUUGGCCUCCAAAACCAAUUGGAAGAGGUUCGAAUUCUCCCCUUUCUG